GAGGAGAGAGAUUGGAGAGAGAGAUUGGAGAGAGAGAUUGGAGAGAGAGAUUGGAGAGAGAGAUUGGAGAGAGAGAUUGAGGGGAGAGAGAUUGGAGAGCGAGGGGAGAGAGAUUGGAGAGCGAGGGGAGAGAGAUUGGAGAGCGAGGGGAGAGAGAUUGGAGAGCGAGGGGAGAGAGAUUGGAGAGCGAGGGGAGAGAGAUUGGAGAGCGAGGGGAGAGAGAUUGGAGAGCGAGGGGAGAGAGAUUGGAGAGCGAGGGGAGAGAGAUUGGAGAGCGAGGGGAGAGAGAUUGGAGAGCGAGGGGAGAGAGAUUGGAGAGCGAGGGGAGAGAGAUUGGAGAGAGCGAGAUUGGAGAGCGAGGGGAGAGAGCGAGGGGAGAGAGCGAGAGGAGGAGAGGGCGAGAUUGGAGAGGGCGAGAUUGGAGAGAGCGAGAUUGGAGAGAGCGAGAUUGGAGAGAGCGAGAUUGGAGAGAGCGAGAUUGGAGAGCGAGGGGAGAGCGCGAGAGGAGGAGAGUCUCCUGACAUAAUGUACACCUUUUGGAAGCAGUGGAGCCACAGGAAGCAUCAGACUGAUGGCAUCGCUCGAUGUCCUGUGUGUUGUGUUAUUUUGCACAGUCCAAAUACUCCUUUUACAGGCCGACGUGACGUUACUGUGAUGCUUCGGACUUUGGGUUGACCCGUGAAUUAAGUUGUAACUAUGAAGGGUUCAUUUUAUUUCAGUGUUUUUCUUCUUCCCUUAAUCAUGUGUUUCUCGAAAAGACUGACCACUGGAGUGCAGUUGAAGAUGUCCUGGUUCGGUCCAGUGUUGGGCCAGACGGGCUUAUUUAAAAAAUAACAUUUUUUUUUUUUAAAUUCUAUUUUAAUCUCACUGUAAACCGAAUGUUUGAUUUGAUUUCAGAGAAUUGACUUUAAAUACCGCUAGCCACAGAUGAGUUAUGUUAUUUAGAACGUCAUCAGUAUAAUUCAUACCAGAGUUUGAUUCGUCGGCUUCUGUUUUUAAACGGUUCCAUUGUAAUUUGAUACGACGUGUGUAAAUACAACCAACCUUGUUGUGCAGCGAAGAUGAUUUGAACAUGAAGCCAUUCUGUAUAACCAACAAUGAUUUUAGGGAUGCUGUGACACUGGUUUUAGACGUCUCCCCAGCACUGCCUGGGUCCCAGCGCGAGGGCCACUCUCAUGGCAUCCCCUUCCUAAUUCCUGUCUAGGCACACGGACCAUUUCAUACAUGAUGACAAUAUGGAAGGGGGGGGGUGGGUCACAGAAUGGUUAGAUAAGCGGUAGUGCGGACACUGAAGGAUUUCAAAGCUUGAUUAUAGUGUACAGCUUUAAACCAUUUAAGCAAUGUUUAAACAAGCCAGUAUCUUACAAAUGUAAGACGUAUCAUUCAGUUUUUAUUGAUUAAGUUUGGUGUGAUUUUUUUGCAUUGGCAGCAGGUCCUGAAUCACAACGUGGUUUCCACACAUGUCCUUCAGCCUGGCCAUUAGUCUGAAGAAUGCAGUGGGCCUCAUGCAGGAGUGUCUCGUUUUCCCCUAUUUCUUUACUAAACUAUUUAGUUACCUCUGUGUGUGUGUGUGUGUGUGUGUGUGUGUGUGUGUGUGUGUGUGUGUGUGUGUGUGUGUGUGUGUGUGUGUGUGUGUGUGUGUGGUGAAAUACAUGUCUCUAAUAGGGAAGGCAAAGCAUUCCCAGACAGAUUGAGUGGUACAUGAUAAUUUUGAUCACUUGUUAAGUCAGACCUUUCAGAACAAGUCUUGUUCAAGUGCAUUCUGUUUUGGACUCUCUGAUAUACAGGUAACUGGCGAAACAAAGGACAUCUUGAGUAAAUGAAGGAUACUAAGUACACUAUAUAUACAAAAGUAUGUCAAAAUAGUGGAUUUUUGUCCAUUUUAGCCACACCCAUUGCUGACGGGUGUAUAAAAAAAAAUUGCACACUGCCAUGCAAUCUCCAUAGACAAACAUUGUCAGUAGAAUGCCCUUACUGAAAACCUCUGACUUUCAACGUGACACCCGCCAUAGGAUGGCACCUUUCCAACAAGUCAGUUCGUCAAGUUUAUGAGCUGCCCCAGUCAACUGUAAGUGCUGUAAUUGUGAAGUGGAAACGUCUAGGAGCAACAAAGGCUCAGCCGCGAAGUGGUAGGCCACACAAGCUCACAGAACAGGACCUCUGUGUGCUAAAGCGUGGCUCGUGGGGGCCUAAACGCCCUAUUUAGACACUUCAUGUUGGUAUUUUCUUUAUUUGGGCAGUUACCUGUAUAUUCUCUGCACGGACAGCCAUUGAGUAUACAUGAGGAAUGGCGAUGGAUAGUCCUGGUGCUCUGAGUUAGCAACAUGUAAAGCUUAGCGAUUGUACCACCGGCCUAAUUCUGAUUCCGGUGAUAUUUCAGAACUCCACAAGAAAAGAAUAAGCUAUAAUUCACUUUUGUGGUACAGAUGUUUUAUCUCUUAACCUGUGUUUUUUGGAAACGAUGAAGGCAAAGUUGGCUCUUAUUUUAUACUAAAUAAAAAAUAUAAACGCAACAUGUAACAUUUUCAUCGAUUUUACUGAGUUACAUUUCAAAUGAGGAAAUCAGUACAUUGAAAUACCAUUUUAAGGCCCAAAUCUCUGGAUUUCACAUGACUGGGCAGGGGUGCAACCAUGUGUGGGCUUGGGAGGGCGUAGGCCCACCCACUUGGGAGCCAGACAGGCCAAGCCAAUCAGAAUGAGUUUUUACAACAAAAGGGCUUUAUAACAGACAGAAAUACUCCUUUCAACAGCUGACCAGGUGGCUGGUCUCUGAUGAUCCCGCAGGUAAAGAAGCCGGAUGUGGAGGUCCUGGACUGCCGUGGUUUACACGUGGUCUGCAGUUGAGGCUGGUUGGACGUACUAAAAUGGUGUUGGAGGCUUAUAGUAGAGAAAUUAACAUUUAAUUAUCUGGCAACAGCUUUGGUGGACAUUCCUGUAGUCAGUAUGCCAUUUGCACGCUGCCUCAACUUGAGACAUCUGUGGCUUUGUGUUGUGACAAACUGCACAUUCUAGUGUCCUUUUUAUUGUCCCCAGCACAAGGUGCAUCUUUUGUAAUGAUCAUGCCGUUUUAAUCAGCUUCCUGACAUGCUACACCAGUCCGGUGGAUGGAUUGUCUUGGCUAAGGAGAAGGGCUCACAAACUGGGACGUAAACAAAUUUGAGCACAAAAUUUGAGAGAAAUAAGCUUUUUGUGCGUAAUGGAACAAUUCUGGGAUCUUUUAUUCCAGCUCAUGAAAUGUGGGACCAACACUUUACAUGUUUCAUGUUAUAUUUUUGUUCUGUAAAGAACUGGUACUCUAAUCAUUGUUUUGCCAUUAUAACACCGACGUUGUGUAGCAGUAGUUGGCGACUAAUUUAUUUUAAAUUUCAUUUCACCUGGUUAACCAAAGACAUUAUUUGACCUAAUGCUUUUUGGUGUCUUAUUGGAACUGAUAUGAAAAGGUUAUUUUUGGAGAUGAUGCGAUGGAGAAUCAUUGCUUGAUUUGAAGAUUCAUCCGAGGUCCAUGUUUUUAAAGAUGUGAUGUCACUGGUCUGAGAGAUGAUUCAUCUGAGGUCCAUGUUUUUAAAGAUGUGAUGUCACUGGUCUGAGAGAUGAUUCAUCUGAGGUCCAUGUUUUUAAAGAUGUGAUGUCACUGGUCUGAGAGAUGAUUCAUCUGAGGUCCAUGUUUUUAAAGAUGUGAUGUCACUGGUCUGAGUGAUGAUUCAUCUGAGGUCCAUGUUUUUAAAGAUGUGAUGUCACUGGUCUGAGAUGAUUCAUCUGAGGUCCAUGUUUUUAAAGAUGUGAUGUCACUGGUCUGAGUGAUGAUUCAUCCGAGGUCCAUGUUUUUAAAGAUGAUGUCACUGGUCUGAGUGAUGAUUCAUCUGAGGUCCAUGUUUUUAAAGAUGUGAUGUCACUGGUCUGAGAGAUGAUUCAUCUGAGGUCCAUGUUUUUAAAGAUGAUGUCACUGGUCUGAGUGAUGAUUCAUCUGAGGUCCAUGUUUUUAAAGAUGUGAUGUCACUGGUCUGAGAGAUGAUUCAUCCGAGGUCCAUGUUUUUAAAGAUGUGAUGUCACUGGUCUGAGUGAUGAUUCAUCUGAGGUCCAUGUUUUUAAAGAUGUGAUGUCACUGGUCUGAGAGAUGAUUCAUCUGAGGUCCAUGUUUUUAAAGAUGUGAUGUCACUGGUCUGAGAGAUGAUUCAUCUGAGGUCCAUGUUUUUAAAGAUGUGAUGUCACUGGUCUGAGAGAUGAUUCAUCUGAGGUCCAUGUUUUUAAAGAUGUGAUGUCACUGGUCUGAGAGAUGAUUCAUCUGAGGUCCAUGUUUUUAAAGACGUGAUGUCACUGGUCUGAGAGAUGAUUCAUCUGAGGUCCAUGUUUUUAAAGAUGUGAUGUCACUGGUCUGAGUGAUGAUUCAUCUGAGGUCCAUGUUUUUAAAGAUGUCACUAUUUCUAAAGUCUUACAUUUCCUCUAACUCUACUGGAAUCUGAGUUUGAGUCUUACUUAAACAAGAGAGCCGUGUGUGUGUGUGUGUGUGUGUGUGUGUGUGUGUGUGAGAGAGAAUACCCCCGUCAAUGUUAUCAAUAUUGCCUAACUGAAAGGUUAUCUAGAAGUUGUUUUACUUCCUUGCUUGUGUGUUUCUACAGAUACAAGUAUGAUGAUCCGUAAUUUAUAAAGAACCAAGAUCAUGUUGUGUUCUGCCAAUUACCACGAGUCACUUUGGAUAGUAGGGGAAAUGAAUGUCCUGAAUAAUAAUACUGCUUAGUGAUGUGAGGUUGGUUCUAACUUUUAUCUAUGGCUUUCCGUCUGUCUUUAUUUAGUCUUUUUUGUAGCAGCACACAGCAAGGAUGAUUUUAUUGUGCCGUUGUAUUCUGUUGACCGUCAGAUGUAGAGACCUAAAAGACGCAGGAAACUGCUGCCUUAGAGAAAUCAGCUUUUAUAGGAAUAAAUGUUUUUCAAACAA